ensembl:lncRNA
CCAAGCCAGCCGUAGUGAGUGAUGCACUUCUGGUCAUUUUCACAAAAAUAAAACACCCGUUGUCUUUUAUUAUGAAGAAAACCAUGAGGGUAGAAUUUGCGCUUUUAUUUUGUAAACAGGAAGUGAACCUCCCCUCGCUAACGUCAUAGCUCACUUGAAUCCGUCGAAACUCUGUUUUAAAUGACGCUAUAGCUCCGGUAACGUCGUGUUUUAAAGCUUUUUCGUGUGAGAAAGUAGCAGUUUAGGUCCCCGUUGUUCCGCCAGUUUAUCCAAAUAACGCUUGUUUGCCCUUUUGCUCCGCCGUGCUGGGAGAAGUGCAGACCAGCCCCACCUGUGGUGGUAAAUGGAGCAACUAAAAGAGCCUUAACAUCAUGGAGGAAUUGGAUGAUGUUACUGUUUCAGUUCUAAAUGCUGCCAGCAUAGAUGAGGCCUUACUCCACACCCUCAGUCGGGAUGAUUUAAGAGACCUUUUUCCAGAGAACUUUCUCAGGAGGAAACAACUGUGGGCUCUUAUUAGCCAUGAGGAUGAGAAUGCCACUUUACCAGACAAAGCUGGCCCAGGUGAAACAGGAACUGUGUCAUCACUUCAAGGAUCACCUCCAGUAUCCCCCCACACAUCCACUCCUGUGUUGAAGAAAACCUUACAGCUUCCUAGUCCACCAGAAUAUGUUAUAUACACAGACACUGAGUUGGAACUGGCUCGUAAGCACCAUUUUGAGAUAGGUAGAGAGGGGGAAUCUGUAAUGUCUAAAGAGUUGAGAUGCAGGCUGGUGAGGAACACUGUUACCAGCAUGAUCUCAAUCUUAAGAGCAAGUCAACAAGGAGAGGAGCUCCGGUACCCCUCUAAGCAUGAGGUCACCGCAAUGGCUAAGAGACUAGUGGAGUAUUAUCCCAUGCUACAGGAUAAAGAUGAACCCAUCAAACAUAUGAGCAUGUACAGUUAUCUUCAGAAGAGAAUUCUGAAUGUGAAGUCCCCACAGAAGAGGAAGGGGCCCAGACCAGAGAGAAGCAGUUCAACCAAAAGACGUCACAUUGACUUCUCUCCAAGUGACCAGGGAGAAGAUUAUGAUGCAGACUCAAGUGGUGGAUCAACAAUUCUUUUGCCACCUAGGGGCAGUUCUGAAGACGACAGUUCAGCGGACAAAGAUAGUCCGGCAGCACAGGCCAGGCAUUACAAGACUCUGCAGGAGAUGUACAAAAAACCAAAACCCAACCAAGAUGCUGUCUGCCAGAUCCUUGACCUUGAGUUUCAAUCAAGAAGAGCCUUCAUUGACAGUGGCAUUCUGAAAGAAGAGGACAGACCAGCAAAGAUUUUCGAGGCAUAUCCAUGUUUCAAAGAGCUUCAUCAUGUGAUGGAUGAGCUGCGGCGGAUUCUGGCUAAGGACAACAGCAAGUUCAUCAAUGAAGUAAAGAAGAGAUGGGCCGACUUCUGCUCCAUGGUGCAGUUUUAUGGUGUUUGGAGGAAAGUGUUGAAGCCACCCAUGAGCCUGGGUGCAGUGGAAUCCAACAUUGCCUUGUUCAGGGCACUACCCACACUCUUCCCCUCACCGUCUGCGCCACCUAAGAAGAUGGGACAGGCCAGUGAGGCAUUGCUUCAUGUCCUUCAGCCAACAGAAGAGCCAGCCAUCUACCUCCAGAAGAGAACCCUCUUCAGCCCUGUUUUGGUCUUUGAUGGGUCCCGCUGUCUUCUGGCAAUUGGAAACACUCCUGUCACUACAUUUGCCAAAGAAGAACUUGGUGAAGGGUUGCUGUAUCUGAUGGGUUAUUACUAUACCCUGCAUCUCACCUAUCCUAAGUGUGUGGCGACCAUUCUCUCUGUCAUUCAGACAGAGGUCUUAAGCCCAGUUCAGACCAAAGAUUCACCUUGCAACGGCUUGCAACGAGACGGUUUUAGAACGUCGCAGGGGCGGUGUGAACGGGUCGUUGCAAGCCGUUGCAAGCCGUUGCAAGGCGUCGCAAGGCGUCGCAAGGAGUCGCCAGAGAUUGAACAUGUCAAAUCGCAAGGUCCAGUUUUAGAACGCGGCGAUUUAACUAUUCCUCUUCAGCCAAUCACAGCACAGAACAAUUUGUACGUCACGGCCUUACUCCGUCCCGGUACCGUACUGUCGUAUUUUGUUGAUGUAUUUGCACUUUUAAUCUUGCUGAAUUCUACGACGAAUAAUUGUGUCCAAAUACAGAUAUGAGGACGACAAAUGACCUGAAAAGAUUUGGUUGGGGUUUGUCUCAUUUUUCCUGCAUUUACAGUGUGGGCGCAGAAUUCGACGGUCUGCUGUCAUGAAUUGUGACCCAUCGGGAAUUGCGACCUGCUGCUUGUGGACUCUGUGAUGAUCGCAGACAUGAAUAAUUGUGUGCACAUACAGAUAUGAGGACGACAAAUGACCGGAAAAUGCAAUGUAUCCAACAACGGGUAAUCUAAACUAACUGCGCAGGGAGGCGACCCUCUCGUCUACCGGGGUAAACUCCAACACCGCGGCGCUCAGCCGGGGGAUUUAUGAGUAUCCCCACACCCGCCCGGCGCCUCACGCCCUUGGCAACUCCGGAGAAGAAUAGAGUCCAACCCUUAUCCAGGAGAACGGUACCAGAGCUGAGACUGUGCGUGAAGGUAAGCCCCAACCGAGAUCUAUCUGAUAGCGCUCCGCCUCCGUCACAAGCUCCGUUUCCUUUCCCCACAGCGAGGUGACGUUCCACGUCCCCAGAGCCAGCUUCUGCCGCCCGGGUCUGGUCCGUCGAGACCCCUGACCUUCGCUGCCACCCAUGUGGCUGCGCACCUGACCCCAACGGGUCUUCCCACAGGUGGUGGGCCCAUGAGAUGAAGAGAGGGGAGGUGCCACGUCGUUUGUUCGGGCUGUGCCCGACCGGGCUCCGUGGCAAACCCGGCCACCAGGCGCUCGCCAUCGAGCCCUCCGUCUGGGCCUGGUUCCAGACGGGGGCCCCGGGCUUCCUCCGGGCCGGGUCACAUCUCCUCUUAUUCCGAUAUUCAUUGAGGAUUUUUUAACCAUUCUUAGUCUAGCCCCUCACCUGAGACCACUCUGCCAUGAGAGACCCUACCAGGAGCACAAGGCUCCAGACAACACAGCCCUCAGGUUCACAGGGACACGCAAACCUCUCCACCACAAUAAGGUGACGGUUCCAGGAGAGGCUAUUCAGGCUGUUCAGCCAUGUUCUGUCUUAUGAGAUUGAGAUAUUUCAUUGUUAUCAAAGAUAAUGAGGUCAUAGCCUCUUACCUCUGGGUUUCAGAGGUUAAUUUUGCAAAUAUUAUGUUAUGAUUGUAAAUAUUGUAAGGAAUCUGCAAACACUUCAAAUAAAUGCU